rnacentral:rRNA from 1 species
AUUGAACGCUAGCGGCAGGCUUAACACAUGCAAGUCGGGCGAGUGGCGGACGGGAGAGUAAUGUAUGGGAAUCUGCCUGAUGGCGGGGGAUAACUACUGGAAACGGUAGCUAAUACCGCAUACUAUCAGAUGAACCCAUAUGGGAUUAGCUAGUAGGUAAGGUAACGGCUUACCUAGGCAACGAUCCGUAGCUGGUUUGAGAGGAUGAUCAGCCACACUGGGACGGAGACACGGCCCAGACUCCUACGGGAGGCAGCAGUGGGGAAUAUUGCACAAUGGGCGCAAGCCUGAUGCAGCCAUGCCGCGUGUAUGAAGAAGGCCUUCGGGUUGUAAAGUACUUUCAGUCGUGAGGCGUUACCUACAGAAUAAGCACCGGCUAACUCCGUGCCAGCAGCCGCGGUAAUAC